ACGUAGGGUGCGAGCGUUAAUCGGAAUUACUGGGCGUAAAGCGUGCGCAGGCGGUUUUGUAAGACAGAUGUGAAAUCCCCGGGCUCAACCUGGGACCUGCAUUUGUGACUGCAAAGCUAGAGUACGGUAGAGGGGGAUGGAAUUCCGCGUGCAGCAGUGAAAUGCGUAGAUAUGCGGAGGAACACCGAUGGCGAAGGCAAUCCCCUGGACCUGUACUGACGCUCAUGCACGAAAGCGUGGGGAGCAAACAG
rnacentral:rRNA from 1 species